rnacentral:rRNA from 1 species
GACGAACGCUGGCGGCGUGCUUAACACAUGCAAGUCGAACGGAAAGGCCCUGCUUUUGUGGGGUGCUCGAGUGGCGAACGGGUGAGUAACCCGUGAGUAACCUUCCCUUUACUUUGUGAUAACUUCAGGAAACUGGGGCUAAUACCUGCUAGGAGCUCCUGCUGCAUGGUGGGGGUUGGACAGUUUCGGCGGUUGGGGAUGGACUCCCGGCUUAUGAGCUUGUUGGUGGGGUAGUGGCUUACCAAGGCUUUGACGGGUAGCCGGCCUGAGAGGGUGACCGGCGACAUGGGGACUGAGAGAGGGCCCAGACGCGUACGGGAGGCAGCAGGGGGGAAUAUGGCACAAUGGGCGGAAGCGUGAUGCAGCAACGCCGCGUGCGGGAUGAAGGCCUUCGGGUUGUAAACCGCUGUCGCCUGUGACGAAGCGUGAGUGACGGUAAUGGGUAAAGAAGCACCGGCUAACUACGUG